GCCGGAUUAUGGUAAAUUUCAGCUCGCUGCAGGAUAAUUUUAUGGAGACAAAGAAAAAGAUAAAGGAAUCCUAUGAGAUAGGAAUAAUUCUCCACGUUUUGCUGAUAUGAAACUGAGACUCAGAGAGUUAACAGAGCCCUAACCAGUAAGCUGGGCAGCAGCAUGGAAUAAUAGAAAGACCACUAGCCUGGAGGCCAGGAGACUUUGCUUGUAUGGCAUGAUUUCAUUUGUGACUCUGUCAUCUUGAGUCUCCAAACCAGUGAACAUGCCAAGUUUUAUGCCUUCUCAACCAGGUUGAAGCAUUCAGCAAUGAGAAUGAGACCUUGGUGUUUCAGUUUUCAGUAAAACACAAGCAAAGGAAGUAUUGUGGUGGCGGAUAUGUAAAACUCUUUCCUGCCACCCUGAACCAGGAGGAUAUGCACUCAGGAUCCAAGUAUCACAUCAUGUUUGGCCCUGACAUUUGUGGCUUUGGCAACAACAAAGUACAGGUCAUCCCUCAUUACUGAGAGAAAUACCAUGAGAACAAGACCAUCAAGUGCAGGGUGAGUGUGUGCUGGUCCUCAGCCAAGGGGGAAGGAGAUGCAUUUUAUAUGUGUUAUCUCAUUUAAUUCUUACAAAAUCUUAUAAAUUAAAUACUGUCAUCUCCAUUUUACAGGUUAAAAAGUAGAUCUAGAGAAAUGCUGUAAAUUGCAGGAUUUCAUCAAGGAGCAGUUGAUCCAAAAGCCUAAGAAGUUAUAUGAGGUCCUCCUGUGGAACAAUGCUUGGCAUAGCCCAGUUCCCCACUGCUAGACAUGGGAGAGGAUGGGGGAGGGAGGGAGUGUUGGACUUAGAAAUGGGGAUGGGUAGUCAGUUUAUCAUAGUAACAUCAAGUUAGAGACACCUAGGUUGGCUAGAGGAUAGUAGGUGGAUUUCAUCAGCAACUCAACAGGGAUUCAAAUACUAACUCUGUUUUGGGCCUUAGGCUGGGGACAGAGUGGGCCAGACAUGGCCUUUGACUUCACAGAACUCACAGUCAAUGAAGGUAAGAGUCAAGCAAAGUGACUACCUAGUAUGCUGGGCAUCUGUGGGAGCACAGAAGAGGACCCCUACCCAACCUGGAGGCUAAGGAAAUACUUCUUAGAUCAAUAAAGACCCUCACCUGUACACUCUGAUUAUUCGCCCCAAUGCUACUUAUGAGGUUAAAAUUGACAACCAGCAGGUGGCAGCUGGGGCUCUGGAGGAGGACUGGGACUUCUUGCCUCCCAGGAAAAUAAAAGACCCUACGCCCAGAAACCAAAGAAAUGGGAUGAACGCCUGCACAUAGAGGAUCUGGAAGACAAGAAACCUGACAUCAGAGGGCAUUUGGCUGGGAAGCAGUACUGGGAAGACUUUGAAUACAUCCUGGAUCCAGAAGCCAAGAAGCCAGAUAACUGGAAGGAGGCUAUGGAUGGGGAGUGGGAAAGGCCUCUGAUGCCAAAUCCGAAGUAUAAGGACCUAAGAGAAGCAAUGGAGAGAACUUUAUGAAGAAAUUGAAAAAAGAAAGCAGGCAGAAGAGGCCAAGAAGUAAAAGGAAACGGAUGAAGAAAAGGAAGAUGGCAUUUGGGGAAUUGAAGAAGAGGGAAAUGAAUUGGAUCCCACUACAGAGCCAGGAAAUGACAGGGAGAUGCAGGAACAUGAUGCUGACAGAGUGUUUCUGGGUAAAAAUGAGGAAGUCCUUGUUGACCAGAAGGGUGAACUGUAACUGGGAUUGUGGAGGCAAAUGUUAGGAGGAGAAAUAUUCAUGAGGUUGGUACAAUUUGGGGAGCAAAAUAACUUACUUUUUUGAAAUAAACUUUGGAUUUGUAUUUCCAUCCCGCUCCCUUUGCUCUGUGUGACCUGGGGAAAGUCACACUGCCUCUUGGGGCUUCUGUUUCCUUAUUAGUAGAAAGGGAGUGAUCAUUUCUGUUUUAUGAGGUUGUAGGGAUUAAAUGAACUAAUGUAUGUAAAGUGCC
rnacentral:lncRNA from 1 species